rnacentral:rRNA from 1 species
AUGAACGCUAGCUACAGGCUUAACACAUGCAAGUCGAGGGGCAGCAUUCCAGUUUGCUUGCAAACUGGAGAUGGCGACCGGCGCACGGGUGAGUAACACGUAUCCAACCUGCCGAUAACUCGGGGAUAGCCUUUCGAAAGAAAGAUUAAUACCCGAUCGCAUAAUAGAACCGCAUGGUUUGAUUAUUAAAGAAUUUCGGUUAUCGAUGGGGAUGCGUUCCAUUAGGCAGUUGGUGGGGUAACGGCCCACCAAACCUUCGAUGGAUAGGGGUUCUGAGAGGAAGGUCCCCCACAUUGGAACUGAGACACGGUCCAAACUCCUACGGGAGGCAGCAGUGAGGAAUAUUGGUCAAUGGACGAGAGUCUGAACCAGCCAAGUAGCGUGAAGGAUGACUGCCCUAUGGGUUGUAAACUUCUUUUAUAUGGGAAUAAAGUGGUUCACGUGUGGAUUUUUGUAUGUACCAUAUGAAUAAGGAUCGGCUAACUCCGUGCCAGCAGCCGCGGUAAUACGGAGGAUCCGAGCGUUAUCCGGAUUUAUUGGGUUUAAAGGGAGCGUAGGUGGACAGUUAAGUCAGUUGUGAAAGUUUGCGGCUCAACCGUAAAAUUGCAGUUGAUACUGGCUGUCUUGAGUACAGUAGAGGUGGGCGGAAUUCGUGGUGUAGCGGUGAAAUGCUUAGAUAUCACGAAGAACUCCGAUUGCGAAGGCAGCUCACUGGACUGCAACUGACACUGAUGCUCGAAAGUGUGGGUAUCAAACAGGAUUAGAUACCCUGGUAGUCCACACAGUAAACGAUGAAUACUCGCUGUUUGCGAUAUACAGUAAGCGGCCAAGCGAAAGCAUUAAGUAUUCCACCUGGGGAGUACGCCGGCAACGGUGAAACUCAAAGGAAUUGACGGGGGCCCGCACAAGCGGAGGAACAUGUGGUUUAAUUCGAUGAUACGCGAGGAACCUUACCCGGGCUUAAAUUGCAUUUGAAUAAUCAAGAAAUUGGUUAGUCGUAAGACAAAUGUGAAGGUGCUGCAUGGUUGUCGUCAGCUCGUGCCGUGAGGUGUCGGCUUAAGUGCCAUAACGAGCGCAACCCUUAUCUUCAGUUACUAACAGGUCAUGCUGAGGACUCUGGAGAGACUGCCGUCGUAAGAUGUGAGGAAGGUGGGGAUGACGUCAAAUCAGCACGGCCCUUACGUCCGGGGCUACACACGUGUUACAAUGGGGGGUACAGAAGGCCGCUACCUGGUGACAGGAUGCUAAUCCCAAAAGCCUCUCUCAGUUCGGAUCGAAGUCUGCAACCCGACUUCGUGAAGCUGGAUUCGCUAGUAAUCGCGCAUCAGCCAUGGCGCGGUGAAUACGUUCCCGGGCCUUGUACACACCGCCCGUCAAGCCAUGAAAGCCGGGGGUACCUGAAGUACGUAACCGCAAGGAGCGUCCUAGGGUAAAACUGGUAAUUGGGGCU